GCUAAGGUAAUACACAAGUCAACAGGUUUGUGUCUGGACGCCACCAACCCCAAUGGCUUGGCUGGAGUGAAAACAAGUCUUUACCAGUGUCAUGGACAAGGUGGUAAUCAGUUCUUUGAAUACACGAAAGAUCACGAGCUAAGAACUCCUAUUGGUCGGAACUGGGACCUCUGCCUGCACUGUGGAAUGGGUUCGCAAGAUGUCGUUACUGCACACUGCACAGGUCCGAGCAAGGUUGUCCAAGAUCAGCUUUGGUUGUACACGAAGGACCGGACGCUGUUACAUCUCUACACGCAUUACUGCCUGGAAGGAGCGCUCUCUGGCGUCACCUUAGCAACGUGCAACGGGCAGGACAAACAGAUAUGGAUACUAGAAAACAUAAGUUCACAAGAAUAGUCUUUUAGUCUUUCAAUCCUGCAACAUUGUAGGUGAA